UACGAAGGGGGCUAGCGUUGCUCGGAAUCACUGGGCGUAAAGCGCACGUAGGCGGACUCUUAAGUCAGGGGUGAAAUCCUGGAGCUCAACUCCAGAACUGCCUUUGAUACUGAGGAUCUUGAGUCCGGGAGAGGUGAGUGGAACUGCGAGUGUAGAGGUGAAAUUCGUAGAUAUUCGGAAGAACACCAGUGGCGAAGGCGGCUCACUGGACUGGUAUUGACGCUGAGGUGCGAAAGCGUGGGGAGCAAACAGG
rnacentral:rRNA from 1 species